GAUGCCUGGAACAGUGGGAAAAGAACAAGGUAAGUAUUAAAUGGCAUUUAUAAACUGAGAGAACCCAAGCGGCUACAUGAUAAAAUGCGUUUGGUGCUGCUAUUGAUGACAGCUGAAAAGCAUUGGGGAAAACAUUCCCUAAAAUUAAGUCACUUGUGCAGACAUGCAAAUACCCACUAACCCCAAGUGAGGCAGUGUAAGAUUUAUCUGGGUUACCAAAGUUUUGUUAGCCUUCUAAUAAAUGUUCACAACUUUAAAAUCAGUUUUGUAGUACUGCUGAUUACAGAGGUGGAGGGUGGGCAGGAAGAAUCAGAACACACCAUUUUGCUUUGUCGGUACAUUUUUCUAAAGACACUCAGAAGUGCUAGCAGACUCAACAGCCAAGCAUUGUGCAGAAAGUUCCUACAGAGAGGGAAAAAGCUGCCCUGCCACGGUAUUUUUCUUCCCACAGAGUGAUGGCAAAAUAAGCAACAAAGUAUGUUCAUCCAAAAAUAAAGAGAUACUCAUUACACAGAUGAUGAUUAUACAGGGAAGCUGAUUUAACGCUACAGGCAUGUUGCCACUCCCACUAAAGAGCUAUCUUUAGAACUCAGUAUAAAACGUUCCUUAAAAUAAAAUAAAAAGCCCUUACUAUCCUCUCUAAUAAAAGCCUUGGUGUCCGUCCGUGGACGGACACCAAGGCGUGUGUUCGUGCCUCCCCCAGAACAGAGCAAGGGAGACACGACCGCCAGCACCCGGCGGCCAUCUUGGAUGGCCAGAAGCAGCCGUCCUGAAAAAGCCGCGUAUGUGGCGGUGGGGGAAACUGGCCGAGACGGUGGCGAUGCUGCCACCUCGGCCAGAGGACGCGGUGCGGCCGAGGCCUGGCUACGCCGCCGAAGCCGGGCGGGGGGAAGAGGCGGCGGGGGAAGCCGGCCGAGGUGGUGGCGGAGCCGCCGUCGAGGCCUGGCGGUGCCGCCAGAGCCAGGCGGGAGGAGAAUUUGGGGCCCUUGCCCGGCUGGGGAGACCAGCCGCGGCAUGGAGGCUGUCGGCGCCGGCGACAGUUGGUGCUUGUGGGGCUGGACGCAGAGGCAAGUCGGGGGGGGGGGGGGAGGUGCUAGCGCCCGUUAUUUCAACGGGCCUGAAAAUACUAGUCAUAUCAUGUUACGAUAUGUUGUAAUUUAUUUGUUGUAAACUGCCAAGAGACAUAAGUUUUGGGUGGUAUAAAAAUAUGUUAAACAAACAAACAAAUGUGAUUUGUGAAGCAAAGCUUAUAAUCAGGUCCGGUAGGAUUCUCUAUACACAGUCUUAAGAAACUGGCAAAGCUUUGAAUGUUGAAGGGUUUCCCAUUCUUGAUUCAUGUGUUGCAGGAAGAAAAGCUAUGCAACUCCUAAAUAUCUAUGUUUUAUAUGAUCAGCAGAAUCAAGUAGUAAAUUAUUUCCAAAAUGCUUCAUUUCAUGCUACAAGAAAGAAGCAUUAGCUUAUGGCCAGUGGUCAGUGGCUUGGGGAAAAUGCUGGAGAAAUACUGAAGAAACUCAUAAAUCCUUCUCUCCAUCUUUACUUGGAAGGCUCACUAGGAUAAAUCUUGUAAAGAAAAAUGGUGGAGGCAGAUGCACAACUGUUUACAUAGGGUGAAGCCAUCACCACAAGGUUAAUACAGCGCAACCUUAUUAGCCCAACUGGAUAUCCAAUUGCUUAUUUUCCAAGUGAAAUGUAGAACCGCCCCCUGCCCUUUCUUUAUUCAUGGAUGGAAAAACUGCGUAGAGAUGCAACUUUGAGUGCCGAAACGGAAAAGGCUCAGGGUUCUCCUGCCAGCCAACUCACAAGGUUGUUUUUCCACAACCACCAGCACCUUUUCUGGAGGGAGCCAGAGAAUAUGCAUCCCCAUCAAAGUGAUGUCGCACACAACUAAUGCUUCACCAGCUUGGGAAGGAGACUUUUUGGCAAACUUUUAAACAAAUCUUGCCUGACUCCGCCUUUCUGGCCACGAUGCACCCAUCCCCCUUUCAAAAAGAGAAACCCCACCCGGAUGUGUCAGGGCAUCAGCUCUGAGCAAAAGCCACUUUUCCCCUCCUAGGGAACAAAGCAUUUACACAAGGAUUUCAGAAAAUUGUACAGGAAGGAAUUCUCUCUGCCUCUCUGUCUGCCUCUCUUGGCUGCAUCCUGUGUGGAAAGAGCUAAAUAGGCAUGGAUUUAGAAGAGAGAGAGAAAGACACCAUCUGAAGUGUUGCUAAAAAUCCUUCUGGUUAACAUUGCUGUAUUUCGUCUUCCUCUGAUGGAUGAAAGUUAAGAGCGCUCGUUUGGGGCAUCAGUAACAGAUUCGAAGGACGGAAAGCGUGACUAAUGGGAAACAUCUGGGAAGCACAUGGCCAGAGAACCCGGUGGAAGGGGAGAAAAGAAAGACUAGACACUUUUAUGAAGCAAAGCCAUUUCUGGCCUUAAACUCUGUGCAACAAUCUGCAGUUUCAAGACAAAGAGACCUAUGUCCACGCAGAAACACGGCUUGGGGUGGCCGAUCCAUGCAGAAGCAUUUCAUGAAACAGGAUGUCUGGGAUUUUGUAUCAAAAGUAAUGCCCACAUUUCUGCAAUGGGCGGAAGCAUUUAGGCAAGCUUUUCCACUUUGCUUAGUAUCUAAAUAUAUUUACUUACUUUGCAAUGUUGCUUUGGACUGCAUAUAGGGCUGUGCAAUUUUUGGGAGGGGGGGCAUUUCUUUUCUUUUCUUUCUUUUUUUAGAUUGGAGGAGAAUGAUUGAGACUCCAAAAAGAGUUUUAAAAGGAGGCUCCGAUGUAUAUCCAGCAGCACACAACAUGUGAUUUCUAGAGGCUUUCAGAAUUUGUUUUUCAUCUCAGUUUGCUUCUUGUAUAAACAACCAAGUGCUCUCUCUCUCUCUCUCUCUGUGUUAAAUAAAGCCCCUGUGCUGUGUUCAGGCAUA